UUUCUAUAUUUGAGUGAUUGAAAUUAUACAGGGAAAAUGUAAAACCCUCAAAAUGACACCUGGAAGAGAGGGACAGAUGUCUCAAUUAAAAAAGUUUGAGCAUUUUAUAGGAUUUUUUCAAAGCACAGCUCAUCCCAUUUUCUCAUAAUCCGCAUCUCUCUAAAAAUUCAAACCUCUUCUUUUCUCCUCAUUCUCUCUAAAAAAUCUUCAUCUCAUUUCAUCUUUUCAAUCAUCUGACCACACUCAAUCAUCCUUGGUAUCAAGAACCUCAAUUUUCACCUAUCAACGUAUCGUUUAGAACGGUGAACUGUAGGUUCUUGAGAAUUCUGGUGUUAGGAGCAAAUUUCUGAAGUGAUAGAGUUGUUCGGUCCGGUUAAGAGAGAGAGAGAGAUAGAUGAAUGAAGAAAUAUACCUUGUAGCGAGUAACGAGGUUUUUCCACUUGCACUUGCACUGCUCUGCACUUCUAUGGUAACCCUUUUCCUUCAUUCUC